rnacentral:lncRNA from 1 species
UAAAUAAUGUAUUCCGUAAGAUCGAAAUUCAAUGGAUUAGUACUGAUUGAAAUGUGAACUUUUUAGAACUAUCUACCCCCAAAACUCCCCGGAAAGGGAACUUUACCCCCACCGGACUAAAAUUUACGAUAUUUUUACUGGACAGGAACAUAAAUGUACCAUUUGAUCACAAAUUGUCAUCUACCUUUUGAAGUUCAGGGAUUAAAAAACAAGAUUCUUUAUUUGAUAAUUUUAGUGUCGUCUGAAUUGCAUGGAUUUACUUAGAAACGAGAUAACUUAACGGCACGAAUUUUUCGCAUUUCUUUUGAAGUGUUUGAGGAUUUAGGAGAGAAUCACCAUGGAAUACGUCUUAAAAUAUCAGCGUUGGGCAGUUGUGGCUUUUUGUUCAGAAUGUGAAGUUUACAGUACUACAGUGUUUGAGUCUGAUUAGUUAAUGUCUUUCAACCUGCUUCAGUCAUUGGGAAGAUUUGUCAAUCUUAACAAAAAUGAUACUCCCUAGUCAUUAUGCAGCGCUCACAUUGUUCUUGAUUUCUGCAGCCUCUGUGUCUACCCAGCGAAUAGGAUUUAGUUAUGAGGACGUGCAGAGACAACUUGACUUUCAUGAUUCCGUUCCAAAUGUCGAGGAUGGACUGGAAUGGUUCGAACAGAAGCUUGAUCAUUUCAAUCCAGCUUGCACGGCAACCUGGCUUCAGCGCUAUGCAGUAAGACUGGAGAACUAUGAUGGAAAUAAUUUGGUGUUCUUAUUCAUCGGCGGCCACAGCGUCAUCCAGAAUGCAUGGCUUAGGCAUGGACACAUGAGUAGAUUGGCUGAAAAGUUUAAUGCUGCUGAGUUCAUCAUCGAACAUAGAUUUUAUGGUGGAAGCAAACCCAACCGUAAGUCAUCUUUCCAUCUCUUUUGACUCAUUAGAACCAAAGCCAUGCUUACUGCCCUGGCAAAUCGUGGAUUGAGGGAAUAAGGCGUAAAAUGAGGAGAUGUGAUCCGUCGGAGGAGCUCUGGCAGGAUCGCUAUCAGUAGCGGUUAUGGAUGUCACAGAGCGCACAGAAGCGCUCUAGAGCGAUUUAGUAGUAAUGGGAACAAAAUCCAUGUCGCGAAUAAAUACUUAUUUAAAUAGCUGAAUAUUUUACUUUAAUGAGCGACCACUGAGCGACUACUUUUCAUCUAAAAAGGCUUUCUAUGUAAGGUCAUCAGGGCGCUGACAUUUUAAAUUGUUGUACUUAAAAGCCUUUGACUGAUUGAUUCUAAAAAGAACUUAAAACAAAAUUACGGAAAUUAACUCACCGCUUUUACUCACCAUUGAUGACGCUUCUACACGUGUUGGCUAACUCUCGCUUCUAGCAUUUUACUGACCUUGUCGUCGCCCCCGUUUUCCAGGGAUCUAUCCCUCGAGUCGUUAACUUACUUGAGCAGUGAGCAAGCACUGGCUGAUCUUGCAUGCUUCGUUAAGGAAUGAACAUACUUCAUGGCUUUAAUAAUCCAAAAUGGAUCGUUUUUGGAGGUGCAUACGCAGGAUCCCUGGCAGCUUGGCUCCGAUACAAAUACCCUCAUUUAGUGUUUG